rnacentral:rRNA from 1 species
GAUGAACGCUGGCGGCGUGCCUAAUACAUGCAAGUCGAGCGAACGGACGAGAAGCUUGCUUCUCUGAUGUUAGCGGCGGACGGGUGAGUAACACGUGGAUAACCUACCUAUAAGACUGGGAUAACUUCGGGAAACCGUAGCUAAUACCGGAUAAUAUUUUGAACCGCAUGGUUCAAAAGUGAAAGACGGUCUUGCUGUCACUUAUAGAUGGAUCCGCGCUGCAUUAGCUAGUUGGUAAGGUAACGGCUUACCAAGGCAACGAUGCAUAGCCGACCUGAGAGGGUGAUCGGCCACACUGGAACUGAGACACGGUCCAGACUCCUACGGGAGGCAGCAGUAGGGAAUCUUCCGCAAUGGGCGAAAGCCUGACGGAGCAACGCCGCGUGAGUGAUGAAGGUCUUCGGAUCGUAAAACUCUGUUAUUAGGGAAGAACAUAUGUGUAAGUAACUGUGCACAUCUUGACGGUACCUAAUCAGAAAGCCACGACUAACUACGUGCCAGCAGCCGCGGUAAUACGUAGGUGGCAAGCGUUAUCCGGAAUUAUUGGGCGUAAAGCGCGCGUAGGCGGUUUUUUAAGUCUGAUGUGAAAGCCCACGGCUCAACCGUGGAGGGUCAUUGGAAACUGGAAAACUUGAGUGCAGAAGAGGAAAGUGGAAUUCCAUGUGUAGCGGUGAAAUGCGCAGAGAUAUGGAGGAACACCAGUGGCGAAGGCGACUUUCUGGUCUGUAACUGACGCUGAUGUGCGAAAGCGUGGGGAUCAAACAGGAUUAGAUACCCUGGUAGUCCACGCCGUAAACGAUGAGUGCUAAGUGUUAGGGGGUUUCCGCCCCUUAGUGCUGCAGCUAACGCAUUAAGCACUCCGCCUGGGGAGUACGACCGCAAGGUUGAAACUCAAAGGAAUUGACGGGGACCCGCACAAGCGGUGGAGCAUGUGGUUUAAUUCGAAGCAACGCGAAGAACCUUACCAAAUCUUGACAUCCUUUGACAACUCUAGAGAUAGAGCCUUCCCCUUCGGGGGACAAAGUGACAGGUGGUGCGUGGUUGUCGUCAGCUCGUGUCGUGAGAUGUUGGGUUAAGUCCCGCAACGAGCGCAACCCUUAAGCUUAGUUGCCAUCAUUAAGUUGGGCACUCUAAGUUGACUGCCGGUGACAAACCGGAGGAAGGUGGGGAUGACGUCAAAUCAUCAUGCCCCUUAUGAUUUGGGCUACACACGUGCUACAAUGGACAAUACAAAGGGCAGCGAAACCGCGAGGUCAAGCAAAUCCCAUAAAGUUGUUCUCAGUUCGGAUUGUAGUCUGCAACUCGACUACAUGAAGCUGGAAUCGCUAGUAAUCGUAGAUCAGCAUGCUACGGUGAAUACGUUCCCGGGUCU